rnacentral:lncRNA from 1 species
AACUAUAAUUCAAAUUAACACUUUAUUAGAAAAAUGCUUUCGAUAUUUGAAACUCUGUAAAAUAUUAACAAAUUAUAUAAAAAAAUUGAAAAUAUCAAGUUCUUACCUGCUGAGGAAAAACAAUUAUUCUUUAGCAAUUAAACUUAAAAGGGUGUUAUCAACAAAGAUUAUUGUGUACAUUUUAAAACAAGAAAAGGAGCAUCAAAGACUUUGUAACACCCUUGAUUUGAGAGCUAUUUUGUUGUAGGAAAUAGCCUGCAACAAAAAUAGAGUUAUCUUAAUCAAAACCCAUCUUUUUAAUCAAGUGUGUUUUAGUAUUUAGAGCUACUUGAUUUCCAAAUAGAGAACUAUGAAUAAGAAUUAGAACAAAGUAUACACAUGAUUGAAAUGACUUUGUUAUACGCUUUCAUGAUGAUUUUGACCGAAUUGAACUAUUUCUUUUUCACCAAGUUUUCUAGUUGUAUCUAAUUUACCAAUACAUGAGAAAAUUAUCAUGGGGCUACCUGAUGUCAUAAGCCAAAUCCUACCUAGCAUAUCCUUCAAAAUUUCUAGAUGAAUUAUAAUUUUUAUAAUUUUAAAGUAUAAUCUUAAGAAAUUAGCCAACAUAUAGUCAUUGAAAAUAUGCAUAAGUUACCAUGUGAGAGGUUUUGGAUGAAUAAUAAAAAGAGGAAAUAGGAUCAUAUAUUCACAUAAAUCGCAAUAAAUAUCUUGUUAGGACUAAAAAACAGAAAAGAGUUUCAUACCAUCUUUUGUCUCUGCAACACAUUAUUUUCUUCAAAUUUUAACAUGAGAACUUCAGAGAUGGUGUAGCAAAAUGUUAUUCCCUUCCAUACCCAAUCAUAUUGUCUAAUGCCAACACGCAUUUCAUUAAACAUCUUAUAUGCAUUCAUAUAAAACACUUACUAUAGUAUCGAAAAAUCACUAACCCAUUUUCAAAAUAUAAACAAAACAAUCAACAAAUUGGAAAGAGAUGUUUUACUCAGUUCACAAAUUAAACAACGAAAUUGGUUGUAGAGUACCAAAAAUGAUGAUAUCGGUUUGAAAAGAAGAAUCUGAGGAGAUCAUGAGUAGAACAAUAAUAAGAAUUAAGAUUACAUUAAAAUUUUGUGUAACAAAUUGUGAAACACAUAGUAAGGAUUUUGUGAAGAUAAGGAUGCUUGAAAUCUUUUCCCUUUUAAGAAAAACAUCAGGUUUUCUAUCAGAAGUACCAAAUCAAGAAGAGAAAUUAAGAAGCAUGAAAAUGAAUUAAAGGAAAGAAGAACACUAACAUACGAUGAACACAAACUCUUGUGGUGGACCAAAAACGUUGAAGUGGGAUUUUUGUACAUCUUCAACAAAGCCCAUACUCGUGAUAUGAAGAUAAAUCUGUCGACGUAAGAGGAGAGGGUUCCACGUCUGGAACACCGAUCUCAGAAAAUGAAUCUAUAAAAAUGGGGGGAAAGAAGGGAAAAGGAAAGACGAAGAUGGAGAAAGAAAGGCGCCUUUAAAAAGCGUAUGAAAGGCCGUUAAGAUUGGAUGUAACGUUUUAAAGAUGAUGGAUGAGAGAAGCAGUGGGAAGCAAGUGUUGAAUCGACACCACAUGCAAACCGGCGGAGAGAAUAGUUGUGAUGGUGGAGUCAGUUCCUUCUUCCGGCAAUGUAAUCCAUGAUGACCACAUCAAUGACGUCGUUUAAAAUAUAGGUGAUGUGGAUUUCAAUGAAGGGUGUAAAUUUGAUUUUGGCGGCACGAGAAAAACAACGUGUGUGCGUGUGUGUGUGUAUAUAUAUAUAUAUAUAUACUAGAAAAGUUUGAGGCCCGUGCUAAGCACGACCCAUGAAAGAUAAUUUGGGUUAUUUAAAAUAUAUUGUGCUAUCAACCAAAAAAGCACAAUGCUAUAAAUGGAUGGAUUUUCAAUUUACAAUGCAUGAAUAAGUAAAAAGAAAAUCAAUGUAUAUUGUUAUAUUCAACAAAUAAUUGAAAAUCCUUUACAAUAUUCUGAUAUGAAUAUUUCGACUUAUGGAAAACCUAUAUGCAUCAUUUGUUUUGCACUCUAUUUUUAUUGGUAUUACUCAUGAAAUACCAUCUUUGAUUUUGGAUUCAAGGUUUUAUUCACUUGUUCCUUGGUUGUCAUUGAUCUUUAUUGCUAUGUCCACUAUUUCACUAUUUCUUUAUUCGACGUGACCUAAAAAAAGCAUAAAUUAGAAUGAUUUAGGACUUUAAAAUGCUUUUUUAGAUGUUGCAACCAUUAGAACAUACACAAAUUCACAAAAUAAUUCGAGCAUACCUUUGAAGGAGGUUGAAAUACGAAAUUGGAAAACCAGAAAAAGACAAUACAGUGUGAUGACUGUGAUGACUGAGCGCCUGGCGUUGAACCCACCCAAGUCAGAUGGUGCUGGAUGAAUUCACACCUUCCUAAUUAGACACAAUGAACAAAAUUUGGCACAUUUAGGCUAGUUGAAAAGGUAAAUUCCAUCAAACCCAGAUUAAAUGUGGGCGUCAACAUCAAACCCAGAUUAGAAAGGUAUGCUAGUUUAAGCCACUUGAGUAGCAAGAAAGUACCAUCGUGAGUGAUAUAAUGUGGGCGUCAAUCUUUAUAUAGAUCUACCUGAAUGUAAAUGAUGUGCGGUUGAAUAAUAUCUUUCGACAAAUAAUCAACGGAUGAUUGUUUUCUCAUUUCGUAGCUCUCUUAUAAUCAACCCACCAAAUUCAAGCCCACUCCAUGACAACAUUAUGGUGGUGAACACCGCACAUGAUAUUAUAGACACAAUUCAAGCUGAAAUAACGUCAAACACAUACAAAACAUCUAGGAUAUUAAUCUAUAAUUAUAGCGGUGAAAUUAACAGAGGAUGGGGGUUUUUAACUAAAAACAUUGUUUCUUGGCAGAUUAAGAGGCAUCCAAAAUGAAACGGCGGGGAUCUACUUUGAUGGAACAUGGCGACUUUAAGAAAGGAGACGGUACACAUGGAUCAACAUCAAACCCGCCCAAUUGCACUCCUUCAAUAUUCGUGGCGUCAUUCAGAAGUAGGACACGUGGCAUCAAAAGGACCCAGUAAAUCUAAUUUAGGAGGCACGAAAAUAGAGGCUAAUUUAAAUAUUUAAAAACAUUACAAAAGAAUAUUAUAACCGGAGUGCUUUUUAUUAUGGGUAAUGAAUUUAAAGUAUGUUGUUAUUCUCACUAAAGAACCAAGUUUCUUUUAUUAUUGGUAAGGUAAUAAAAGUGCAAUGCUAUUAUGGGUAAAAGAUGAAAUUACAUUGCAAUAUAAAAAGGAAAGUAGUUAGCCUAUAUUGAUAAAAAAAUAAAAAAAAAAAUAAUAAAUAAUAAAAAAAAAAAAAAGUAAAAUCCAAUGUUAUUUCCGACAACAUUAUAAUUCUCCCCAAUGAAAUUCAUUGUCUAAGCAUGCCUUUUCUCCCUUAACCGCAAAAUUUCAGGACCAUAACUUAAUUGUUAAUGCAUUUUUAGUUUAAACAUCAUAUCAAAAUCAUUAAUUAAUCCCCAAAUCUUUUAGGGUCUUAGUUAUUUUCGAACAAUAUUUCAUGCUUCUUGUAAUGUAUAUCUUCCUUGAUAGUGAUGUGAGAUAUAUGCCUUUUGUAGCACAUUGGUUUACUUUCAUUUACUUGCUCCUUCACCUUAAACACCAUCAUAACUACUCAAAUUCAAUAUUUUCUCUGCCUAUCCAUGGGGUUUCUUUUUCAUUCCGUCACUGAAUGGAGCGGAAAUUGCAAUAUAGCCCUUUUUAGCUCUUUUAAAUCUUAAUGACAUGAAACUUUUUCAUGAUUAUAUAUAAUCUAAAUUACAGUUUUAUAUUUUAAAAGUAACCGUGUUCAAAAUGGUAUGGAUUUGUUACGUUUGGUGACGAAAAAAGAGAACAAUGAUGUGAAUAAAAUCAAUGGCAUGUAUUGUUUAAUCAAGCACAUGUGACUCGAUGUUGUAACCCUUAAAAGGCACCUACUUAACAACAAUAUAGACAUCUUAUCUUGGUCUCCCAACUAGAUAAGGGCGUGAGGCUUUGUGUUUAAAUCAUUUCUCCACGAACCAACUACUAAGAGAUUAUCCACCGAUCAAUGCAUUCCAGAUUAAGAAAUUUCUUGGUGGCAUUUUGUCAAACAGUUUAUGGGCAUAUGACAAGAGCUCAUAUUUAUAUAUAAUCUACAGGUGUAUUCCAACCCAACCAGGAAAACGACUAACAUCCACGUUUAAAAUCUUCAAUCUUUCUCUUUUGGAUAGAACUUAAUCGAAUGUUCAUCAAAAUUUGAUUAAUGAAGAUUCAUACAUAUUGUUUCAUCACUUAAGAACUAUUUCCAACUAAAAAUGUAGAUGAAUUGUUCAUAUCUGUGACAUGUAAGAUUCUGAAACCAAACUCCAAUAAAUCAUAUGAAACAUUACCUUUUAAUAUCAUAUAUACAUUGUAUGAAAUGCAACCAUAGAGAUUACUUUUCGACUUGGCUUGUAGCAUCACUUGAUAAAACUCUCUUAAAAUUAAAAAAAAAAAAAAAAAAUGGGUUCUAGAAUCAAUCGAUAGAAAUGGGUUCCUAGCCAUAUAACAUUAAUGAACGGAGGGUCAGUAACAUCUACACUCCAAACCUCAUUUCCUCUGAUACACUUCAUUUUUCUGUCAAACGGAUCGACUUUAAGUAAAAAUUAAAGCGACUGUUCUUUCGCUUUUUUAUUUUGAUGAUAAAAAGUAGAUUAUAUAGGCUAAUAGAAAGGAAAAUAAGUGUAAUUACCCAAACUUGAGGCGACGUAAAGCAAUUUUGAACUUACAGGUUUUCCGUGUGCGAACUACGAUCUUUCAAUGGAAAACAUCGUCAUCCAAAACAAAUUCCAUGUGUUAUAAAACCAUUAAAUAAAACUCACGUUUUCGUUUGAGAUGGAGGGAGAAGGAAGAAGAAAGACGUUGCUUGAGGAAAAGGCGUUGUAGGAUACACCGGUUAAUGAAUGGGCACGUUUUUUGAUGGAACCGAUAAUGGAAUUGGUGAAACGUCUGGUUCUAAC